AUGUACGUUAUUGUGAAGGGUCCCAGAGGAACCUUGCGGAGGGACUUCAACCACAUCAAUGUGGAACUCAGUCUCCUUGGAAAGAAAAAGAAGAGGCUCCGGGUUGACAAAUGGUGGGGAAAUAGAAAGGAACUGGCUACUGUUCGCACUAUUUGUAGUCACGUACAGAACAUGAUCAAGGGUGUUACACUGGGCUUCCGUUACAAGAUGAGGUCUGUGUAUGCUCACUUCCCCAUCAACGUUGUUAUCCAGGAGAAUGGGUCUCUUGUUGAAAUAAGAAAUUUCUUGGGCGAAAAAUAUAUCCGCCGGGUUCGGAUGAGGGCAGGUGUUGCCUGUUCAGUAUCUCAAGCCCAGAAAGAUGAGUUAAUCCUCCAAGGAAAUGAUAUUGAGCUUGUUUCAAAUUCAGCUGCUUUGAUUCAGCAGGCCACAACAGUUAAAAACAAGGAUAUCAGAAAAAUUUUGGAUGGUAUUUAUGUCUCUGAAAAAGGAACAGUUCAGCAGGCUGAUGAGUAAGACCUAAGAGUUUUUGGCCGGGGCUUGGUUUGAUCCCGCCACCUCCAGCAUAUGGGGCUGAUGCCCUACUCCUUUGAGCCACAGGUGCCACCCCAAAUCUCUUACUUUUAAGAACCUCCAGAAAGCUACAGUUAGAAGAAAGACCCGGAGUUUGAUAGAUGAACAGUGUCUACAGUUACCAUUAAUCUAUUGUAAUUUCAAAAUACAAGUAGUUAAAAGAGAAUAAUCCAAAUGUUCUUGGCAUAAAGAAAAGAUAAAUAUUUAAGGUGAUGGA